rnacentral:misc_RNA from 1 species
UCUCCGUUGGUGAACAGCGGAGGGAUCAUUACAGGAUCGAAAGACUCCUAUAACCCCUGUGAACUUACUACAAAUACGUUGCUUUGGCGGGUGCCCCGGGUCUCCCGGGGCGUUCAGCCCGCCGGCAGCCUUCAAAUUCUGUUUCUUUGCGUUGGCAUCUCGAGUAUACAAAAAUAAGUUAAAACUUUCAACAACGGAUCUCUUGGUUCUG